GACGAACGCUGGCGGCGUGCUUAACACAUGCAAGUCGAACGGCAAGGCCCUGCUUUCGUGGGGUGCUCGAGUGGCGAACGGGUGAGUAACACGUGAGUAACCUGCCCUUGACUUUGGGAUAACUUCAGGAAACUGGGGCUAAUACCGGAUAGGAGCUCCUGCUGCAUGGUGGGGGUUGGAAAGUUUCGGCGGUUGGGGAUGGACUCGCGGCUUAUCAGCUUGUUGGUGGGGUAGUGGCUUACCAAGGCUUUGACGGGUAGCCGGCCUGAGAGGGUGACCGGCCACAUUGGGACUGAGAUACGGCCCAGACUCCUACGGGAGGCAGCAGUGGGGAAUAUUGCACAAUGGGCGGAAGCCUGAUGCAGCAACGCCGCGUGCGGGAUGACGGCCUUCGGGUUGUAGACCGCUUUCGCCUGUGACGAAGCGUGAGUGACGGUAAUGGGUAAAGAAGCACCGGCUAACUACGUG
rnacentral:rRNA from 1 species